rnacentral:rRNA from 1 species
UACAGAGGGUGCAAGCGUUGUUCGGAAUUAUUGGGCGUAAAGCGCGUGUAGGCGGCUUUGCAAGUCGGGUGUGAAAGCCCUCGGCUCAACCGAGGAAGUGCGCCCGAAACUGCAGAGCUUGAGUACCGGAGAGGAUGGCGGAAUUCCCCAAGUAGAGGUGAAAUUCGUAGAUAUGGGGAGGAACAUCGGUGGCGAAGGCGGCCAUCUGGACGGAUACUGACGCUGAGACGCGAAAGCGUGGGUAGCAAACAGG